UAGGGUGAACCUGCGGAGGGAUCAUUACCGAGUUUACAACUCCCAAACCCCUGUGAACAUACCAAUUGUUGCCUCGGCGGAUCAGCCCGCUCCCGGUAAAACGGGACGGCCCGCCAGAGGACCCCUAAACUCUGUUUCUAUAUGUAACUUCUGAGUAAAACCAUAAAUAAAUCAAAACUUUCAACAACGGAUCUCUUGGUUCUGGCAUCGAUGAAGAACGCAGCAAAAUGCGAUAAGUAAUGUGAAUUGCAGAAUUCAGUGAAUCAUCGAAUCUUUGAACGCACAUUGCGCCCGCCAGUAUUCUGGCGGGCAUGCCUGUUCGAGCGUCAUUUCAACCCUCAAGCCCAGCUUGGUGUUGGGACUCGCGAGUCAAAUCGCGUUCCCCAAAUUGAUUGGCGGUCACGUCGAGCUUCCAUAGCGUAGUAGUAAAACCCUCGUUACUGGUAAUCGUCGCGGCCACGCCGUUAAACCCCAACUUCUGAAUGUUGACCUCGGAUCAGGUAGGAAUACCCGCUGAACUUAAGCAUAUCAAUAGC
rnacentral:rRNA from 1 species